rnacentral:rRNA from 1 species
GGCUAACGCUGGCGGCGUGUCUUAGCCAUGCAAGUCGAGCGGACUUAUGGGGUAACUUAUAAGUCAGCGGCGGACGGCGGAGUAACACGUAGCUAACCUACCCUCUGGACGGGGAUAACCUACCGAAAGGUGGGCUAAUACCCGAUGUAGUCAUCCUGUAUAGGGGUGAUGAAAGGUGGGCUUCUGUUUACAAGCUCAUGCUGGAGGAGGGGGCUGCGGCCUAUCAGGUAGUUGGUAGGGUAAUAGCCUACCAAGCCGAUGACGGGUAGCCGGCCUGAGAGGGUGACCGGCCCGAGGGGCACUGAGAUACGGGUCCCACUCCUACGGGAGGCAGCAGGCUAGAAAUUUGGGCAAUGGGGGAAACCCUGACCCAGUGACGCCGCGUGCAGGAAGGAGCCCUUCGGGGUGUAAACUGCUGUCGUGUAGGGAGAGGGGUACUAAGGUGAACAAUCUUAGUACUUGACGGUACUACAGGAGGAAGCCCAGGCUAACCUCGUG